rnacentral:rRNA from 1 species
UGGGGAAUUUUGGACAAUGGGCGCAAGCCUGAUCCAGCAAUGCCGCGUGCGGGAUGAAGGCCUUCGGGUUGUAAACUGCUUUUGUACGGAGCGAAAAGGUCUGCCCUAAUACGGUGGGCUCAUGACGGUACCGUAAGAAUAAGCACCGGCUAACUACGUGCCAGCAGCCGCGGUAAUACGUAGGGUGCAAGCGUUAAUCGGUAUUACUGGGCGUAAAGCGUGCGCAGGCGGUUAUGCAAGACAGAGGUGAAAUCCCCGGGCUCAACCUGGGAACUGCCUUUGUGACUGCAUAGCUAGAGUACGGUAGAGGAGGAUGGAAUUCCGCGUGUAGCAGUGAAAUGCGUAGAUAUGCGGAGGAACACCAGUGGCGAAGACAGUCUUCUGGUCGAGAACUGACGCUCAGGCACGAAAGCGUGGAGAGCAAACA